AAGUGACCCAGCUCCUCUCAAUUACUCCAAGUGACCCAGCAGUAGGGGAGCUCAAUUUCCUGGGUCUAGGAUGGUUUUCUGCAACUCUCUGAGGAGUAGAGAACAUUUACUUUUACCCUCCCACCAAUCAUUGUGAGUCUUCAUCAACUCUCUGGUUGAUGGUGCUUGUUGCCUUUCUUCAGAGGCAGAAGGUUUUGUUCCUUAUGGGAGAAGUAACUGGGUGCCGUUUCAUUCUCUCCUACAGCAGCUUCACCAUCUUCCAGGACUCAACAACAAGUGUUCUCCUCUCUUUGAUGCUGCUCCUUCUCAUGGGCACACAGUAGGUUGUUGGAGAAAAACCUACAAUGGACUAUCAACUUUCCUUGGGUCUAUAGCUCGGUGGUGUUCCAUACAAUUGCUUUAUCUGACUCUCAGUCCUUAAGCAAUUGGAUACAAUUUUUAGCUGAAUUAUUUCUACCCACAUAUAUUGAGACCUUCUUCCAUAGAGUUACUUUGCGGAAGACUCAUCAUCUUCAGUUGAAAUACCAUACUCAAAGAAGACUUCCCACAAGAUCAUGAACAAACAUCUAAAAAAGAAUGGCAACACUCAGACCAUGCGUUUCAAGGUCCACGCCAGCACAGAUUAAUGAAUGCUAGAAUUAUAUAAUAAAAGAGAGAGACAGAUCCUCAAAGA